UGGGGAAUAUUGGACAAUGGGGGGAACCCUGAUCCAGCAAUGCCGCGUGUGUGAAGAAGGCCUGAGGGUUGUAAAGCACUUUCAGAGGGGAGGAGGACUAUUAGGUUAAGAGCUAGAUAGUUGGACGUUACCCUCAGAAGCAGCACCGGCUAACUCCGUGCCAGCAGCCGCGGUAAUACGGGGGUGCAAGCGUUAAUCGGAAUUAUUGGGCGUAAAGGGCGCGUAGGCGGUUGAUUAAGUCAGUUGUGAAAUCCCAGGGCUUAACCUUGGAACUGCAAUUGAUACUGGUCAACUGGAGUCGAAGAGAGGGGGGCGGAAUUUCCGGUGUAGCGGUGAAAUGCGUAGAUAUCGGAAGGAACACCUGUGGCGAAGGCGGCCCUCUGGCUUCAGACUGACGCUGAGGCGCGAAAGCGUGGGUAGCGAACAGGAUUAGAUACCCAAGUAGUCCCUGAGCGGGCUGGCAAGGCGCAU
rnacentral:rRNA from 1 species